UACAGAGGUGGCAAGCGUUGUUCGGAAUUACUGGGCGUAAAGGGCGCGUAGGCGGUUCGUUAAGUCCUGUGUGAAAUCCCCCGGCUCAACUGGGGAACUGCACAGGAACUAGCGGGCUUGAGUUCGGGAGAGGGAAGCGGAAUUCCGGGUGUAGCGGUGAAAUGCGUAGAUAUCUGGAGGAACACCGGUGGCGAAGGCGACAUCCUGGACCGGUAUUGACGCUGAGGCGCGAAAGCCAGGGGAGCAACGGGG
rnacentral:rRNA from 1 species